AAAACCCUAUUCGCGUCGCAAAAGGGUUAUAUAAACACACUACGUCUCCUUCUUUUCGUCCCUCGCACAGAUUUCAUUAUGUUUUGGUCCUCACAUCUAAUGGAUUCUUUGUAGCAUUAGGAGCUGAUGAGAAAAGAGUAGAGAAAAAUUUUUCUGCAAGAACAACAUUCGCUGCAUCAGAUGGAUGGAAUGCAUCCCAAAAUACGUAAUCAUUGCGGUUGCUGCACAGCUUUGAGUUUGGCAAGCAUAAUCCCCCGAUGCUUGUGUCUACAUUGCAACAUGAUGUAUUUGAAACCUUAAAACCUGUGUGAUGAUAUAGUAUUAGACCAUGUCUACCAAAAGUUGAAUGAAAGAAUUUGCUUAGUAUGAAUGAGUAUGUCUUAAGGAUUUUAUUUUAAGAUCUUAAAUUACCAUAGGUAGUGGGAUUAUUGAUCAAGUCAAGAACUAGUGGAUAGGUGUCUGCAAAUAUGAGCUUUGAAUUUGGAAGACGAUGGUUGAGUGUGUUCAGUAGCUUUUGUACUUUAGAGUUGAAUUCAAGGAUCCAUUCAUUAACUCUCUUUAAA